AAGAGCGCUUGUAGUGAGUUGUCAAAAAUUGAGUAUGACAACCACUGCAAUUUCUCUA
rfam:Caenorhabditis elegans chromosome X